rnacentral:siRNA from 1 species
CUAACUGGCUACGUUUGGGCUUA